AUGGGUAGUUGGUGGCGGAAGGGUUACGCAGUGGAGGGUUUAUGGAUGAAGACGACACGACGUCACAGACAAGGUACAAAGCUGGGUGCCGCAAAGAGUUUCGGGUCGUAUAUGGGUCAUGUAAGCAAAGAGAAUAACCUUGCCGUCGAGAAGCUUCUGCUCAAGAUAAAAGAGACGGUGGAUUCAAGGGCGAAGGGUAAUAAUACAGGGUUGAUUAAGGGAGACAAAAUUGGUGUUGGCAUUGGCAAUGAUCCCGGUGUUGUGCAAAAUGGAUUUCAUCAUGUGGCUUAUAAAGUUGUUUGA
rnacentral:lncRNA from 1 species